UAUGUGAUCGUCUCUCGCAUAUCAAUAAGCGGAGGAAAAGAAACUAACAAGGAUUCCCCUAGUAACGGCGAGUGAAGCGGGAAGAGCUCAAAUUUGAAAUCUUAAAGGGUUUCCCUUUACGAAUUGUAGUUUAAAGAAGUGUUUUCUGUUGAGGUUUUGGUAAAAGUUCUUUGGAAUAGGACAUCAUAGAGGGUGAGAAUCCCGUAUUUGACCCUUACUUUCAACUUUGUGAUACACUUUCAAAGAGUCGGAUUGUUUGAGAAUGCAGUCCAAAAUGGGUGGUAAAUUUCAUCUAAAGCUAAAUAUUGGCGAGAGACCGAUAGCGAACAAGUACCGUGAGGGAAAGAUGAAAAGAACUUUGAAAAGAGAGUUAAACAGUACGUGAAAUUGUCAAAAGGGAAGCGUUUGACACCAGUGUUGUUUUUCUGAAAAUCAAUUAAAGAACUGUUUAUGCUAAGUUGUUUAGACUUUAUCAGCUAUCUGUUUAGUUUUGAGCUUUUCUUUAAUGCACUUUUCAGUUAACAAGUCAACAUCAAUUUCUUUUGCUGUAAAAAAGCUUGAGGAAGGUGGCUUGAGAUUCGUCUUAAGUGUUUAUAGCCUCUUGCCUAUGCAGUCGGAGAGAUUGAGGUCUGCAGCGUAGAUCCUUCGGGGCUAAAUGCAUUUGUGCUAAGUUAUAGCAUUUUAUAGACAACUUGUUGACUAUGAUUUGUCUUGUAGCUUACUCACUUAUGUUAUUUUACCUACGCUUAGGAUGUUGAUCUACAGAGCGAGAGU
rnacentral:rRNA from 1 species